rnacentral:rRNA from 1 species
UACCAGACUCCUACGGGAGGCAGCAGUGGGGAAUAUUGCACAAUGGGGGGAACCCUGAUGCAGCGACGCCGCGUGGGCGAGGAAGUAUUUCGGUAUGUAAAGCCCUAUCGGCAGGGAAGAAGAAAUGACGGUACCUGAAUAAGAAGCACCGGCUAAAUACGUGCCAGCAGCCGCGGUAAUACGUAUGGUGCAAGCGUUAUCCGGAUUUACUGGGUGUAAAGGGGGCGCAGACGGCAGCGCAAGCCAGGAGUGAAAGCCCGGGGCCCAACCCCGGGACUGCUCUUGGAACUGCGCGGCUGGAGUGCAGGAGGGGCAGGCGGAAUUCCUGGUGUAGCGGUGAAAUGCGUAGAUAUCAGGAGGAACACCGGUGGCGAAGGCGGCCUGCUGGACUGCGACUGACGUUGAGGCCCGAAAGCGUGGGGAGCAAACAGGAUUAGAUACCCGUGUAC